UUAAGGAAAAACAAACUUGGUGUAUCUGGCUGUUUUGGAAAACUGUCAUCCGGAUAACGGACUAUCGUAUGAUUUGGAGAAACACCCUGAUUUUUAAGAAAUGAGUUAUAAAAUGAUGAGUUGAAGAAGAGGAAUGAACUCUGCCUACAAGAAUUGAGAGCCUAUUUUAAAUCGCUUCCCUUUAAACAUAUUGUACUGUAAGGUAGAACUAGGAAAACUGAACAUGGGGCUCGGAUCAGCUCUGAAACGAAGUCGGCACAACAUAUCAAUGCUUCAAAAAGUGGAGAGAGCUCGAUAAAGUGAGGAGAGGCUUCUGGGUUAAGCCACAACAGAAACCCUAAAGCGUGAAGCCUCCUGAGCAGGUCGGCUGGACGGACUUAAAGGCGGAACCCAAAGUUAGCUGGUGCAGUUUUCUCGCCGGAAUUAGGGUCAGCGGCAGCCUUCCCUAGUGCGCAGGCGCAGCGCCACUUAUCCAGCAGGGAAGUGGUCGGUCUCGCGUGUGUGGUAGCGACGGUCCUGACUUGGGGCUUCUGGGUUUGGGACUCCUCAGAAUGAACGAAGAGUCAGGAGCAGGCAGGCUUGCUGGGAGCUGGAAGCUGGACCCUCCUGGUGAUCGCGCACCUCGAUGAUGAAGCCAUGUUCUUUGCUCCCAAGGUGCUAGGCUUGGCCCGCCUAAGGCACCAGGUGUCCCUGCUUUGCUUCUCUGCAGGGUUUUCUCUUUCAGAGAGCUAAGUUGAAUACAUCCAAGGCCUUUUAUUUGGACCCCUCACCGAGCCGAGACAGAAGCGGCCGGCCGGGUUGGGGGACGUCUGCAGCUCUCGCACUGCACUCUCCGCUAGCAGCAUUGAGGAGCAGAAAAGCAGUUCCUCACAGCUGGUGCCCUUCAGAACCUGCAUUUCAGUUGGGAACUGUGCCUGUACUAGUUAUUCUGUGGAACGUUUAUUUGCUGAAGGAUCAAGAACAAUGAUCUUACUAUAUAUAGCACACCAAACAGAAAUCUGUGCUGUAUCGUGCCUGCUCUGCCUUAAUGUUUCACUUCUAAUGAUAGCAAAUGGCCUCCCUGCUGCUUUUAAAAUCCAAUUUGUGCUAGAGAGAUUCAAAUUGAAGAAGUAAAUUCAGAAGAUUAGAAAGUAAUUUUGUAUAGAGCAACUCACGUCAGCUUUCAGUGAAAGUUUCAAAGAAUAAAUCUUUCUUUACAAUACAGAAAAGAUCAAAUGAGAAAACGAAUAUUGACCAUGACACUGGAUUAUUGUAUAAUUGCACAGUUGUACAAAUGAAGCAAUUGAAGCAAAUGAACUGUACAUAUACAAUGGGUGAGUUUUAUGGUAUGUCAAAUUAUACCUCAAUAAAGCUGUUUUUAAAAAUU